UGGGGAAUUUUGGACAAUGGGCGCAAGCCUGAUCCAGCCAUACCGCGUGAGUGAAGAAGGCCUUCGGGUUGUAAAGCUCUUUCAGACGGAAAGAAACGGUUACGGCUAAUACCCGUGACUAAUGACGGUACCGUAAGAAGAAGCACCGGCUAACUACGUGCCAGCAGCCGCGGUAAUACGUAGGGUGCGAGCGUUAAUCGGAAUUACUGGGCGUAAAGCGUGCGUAGAUGGCCGAUUAAGUCGGAUGUGAAAGCCCCGGGCUCAACCUGGGAACGGCAUCCGAUACUGGUGGGCUAGAGUGCGGUAGAGGAGAGCGGAAUUCCCGGUGUAGCGGUGAAAUGCGUAGAGAUCGGGAGGAACAUCCGUGGCGAAGGCGGCUCUCUGGACCAGCACUGACGUUGAGGCACGAAAGCGUGGGGAGCAAACAGGAUUAGAUACCCGAGUAGUCCCUGAGCGGGCUGGCAAGGCGCAU
rnacentral:rRNA from 1 species